UCUGGGACAUCAGUGUAAAUAAGACUCUUAGAAACCUUAGGAGGAAAGAAAAGAGAUCACUAUGUUAAAAGAAAGUUCCCUAAGCCAAUUAAAUUAUGGAGGAACUAUGCAAAUUAAACCCUAACAAAUACAUAGUGAAGGAGAAAAAAAAAGAUACAUUACCCAUAAGUGGGUUAGGAGCAGUUUGAAGGUCACUGAGUGUCAAAAGAUACAUUGGCCUAACAUCUCAGUGCUAGUGCCUCAAACACAAUUUAUUACCAGCACCACAGCUGGGUCAGUGCUGGGUCUGCUGUCUAUAAUUUGUAUGAGGAUGAUGGGCAGUGUAAAGGUCAUCUGAGUUCAUAGGCCACUGACCCUGCCUGAUUUUGUUGUUGGUUCCAACUUGAAUUCUACAGUGCUCUAGCUAGGAAUCUCACUGAAUCGCUUUCAUGAGUCUUGGGUUUCACAAUCUCAAGGAUCCUUUGCUUCUUAAAGAUAUCCUUUUUCUCAUACAAAAUUACCUGCCCCGUGUGAUGCCCUGCAUUUUGUUCAAGUCAGAGUAUAUCCUACUUUUAAAAAACAUCCAUAGUGGGGCUACAGAGAUAGGUCUGUGUUUCAAGUUCUAACCACAUGAGAACAAUGACCUGUACUUAGGUUUCCAUAACUACAGUAAAUAGGUAGGUGCUGUAGUUCUAAUAAUACCGUGCAUGUGAGGCCCUGGUUGGCAGGGCCUAGGUGUCCCAGGAGAGGGGGAAACAUGCCAUGCAAACACAGCGGUGGGCUGCAGCUCUUGGAAAGUCAUUAACACCCCAGGCACUGCAUCCAUGUGGAGAGAGUUUAGUACAGUACAAAGAUAGAGAGAAAGAUAGGGAAGAGAGAGAGAGAGAGAGAGAGAGAGAGAGAGAGAGAGAGAGAGAGAGAGAAAGAGAGAAAGAGAGAAAGAGAGAAAGACAGGGGAAGAGGGAGAGAGAAAGAGAGAAGGGAGGAUCAGCAGAGAUGUGCCUACCUUAUGGUGGGAAAGAGGAAGGGACUGGGAGAGAAAGCAAAGGGGGAGGAGUUUUUUCCUUCAAGGGAAUAUAGGAUUACAUCAGGAGGAUCCUGGGCAGGUCCUCAAGGGGUGGGCCAGACUACUAACAGGAGUCAACCAGCACAACAACAGUUGGGAAGAGGAGACAGUGUGAUCCUUGAUCUUGGAAGUUGGUUUAUUCAGGGCCCUGCGGUGGAAAUUAUUUCAAAGUUAUCAUGUAGAUUGAUAACAUGUGUCACAAUGGAAAGCUCUGGUAAUUUGAAUGAAAAUGGCCUCAUAAACUCACAAGGGGCUGUCACUGUUGGAGGUGUGGCUUUGUUAAAGUAGGUGUGGCAUUGUUGGAGGAAGUGCUUCAAUGGGGGCAGGCUUUGAUAUCUCAAAAGUUAAAGCCUGGGCUAAUGUAUCUCAUUCUCUUCCUGCUGACUGUGGAUCCAUGUGUAGAACUCUCAGCUACCUUUCCAGAACCAUGUCUGCCUGCAUGCCCCCAUGCUUCCUGCCACAAUGAUGGACUAAACUUGUGAACUAUAAGCCAGCCCCAGUUAAAUGUUUUCCUUUAUAAUAGUUGACGUGGUCAUGAUGUCUUUGCACAGCAACAGAAACCCCAAAUAAUACAAAAGCAGAAGUCUGAAUAAUUAUGUGGACUCAUCAAGGAUUACUACACACUAUACUUGUAGAAAGAAUCCCUGAGUAUGAUGUGGAGAGGCAGCCCAGACACAGAGGAGUCCAGCCUGUAUACCUCUCUGAAUAGGCUCUUCUGUGACCUGAGCUCUGUGUGAUUUUAGCGCCCCCUGCUGGUCCUGAGUGUUCUGCAUGGAAGUUCCUAUCUUAGCUCACAUUAUUUCACUAUGAAGCUUGCACAGUAAUAUAUGGUUGUGUCUCAGACCUCAGACUGCCCAUUUCUAGGUCCAAGGUGUUCUUGGCAUUGUCUCUGGAGUUGGUGAGUCAGCCCUUCACAGUAUCUACAUCUUUGAUAUUUCUACUGUUAUAAUUAAUGUAUGUGACCAACUCCAGCCCCUUCCCUAAAGCCUGGAGGACCACUCCAUGACUUCUGUCUACAGUCACUGAAUACGAAUCCAGAGUCUAUGCAGGAGAGUUUCAGGGACUUUCCAGGCUGCAGGAAGUCUCCCCCACUUCCCCUGACUCCAACAGUUGCACCUCACACUGGACACUUGCAAACACAGCAAAUGCUGUUCAGAAAACUUUCACAAAAAUAAUUUUUCUCUUUUCCAUGUCCAUACAACACACAGAAUCUCAUCUCAAUAAUUACUUUUUAAAACAAUGAUAAUGAAAACCAAGGUGAGCCCCAAGUCUUGGGAAUCCAGGGCUGGGUUCCUCUGCCAGAGCUUCAGGGUCAGGGCAGGGCUGGUUUUCAUGGGCACAGAGAAGCUUUAUUUGCAUGUCGGACCUGGAGAGAGGGAACUGCUCAGAGCAGAUAUAAAAUGUCAAUAACAAUGAUGACAGAGAUGGAAAUAGACGGAGUAAGGUGGCUCCAUGUUCACGCUUUCCUCAUUAAGGAUUCAUCACACUUCCUUUGGUUCCUUUACCAGCAUGUGCUCAAAACAUGCUCUGUUUCCAUACUGCUUGUCUCUUAGUAUCAAUGUGUAAUGAAAUACUACCACACAAAACUGUGUUUCUAUAUAGGAGCUCAGUCUUUUCCACUGUCUGGGCUGGACUUGGCUUCUUCUCCCUGAUGAGGAUCUUGGACAGAGUCAGACCUACAGGGUGAUGUUAGCAGAACUCACUCUCUGUGAUGAGAACACUUGAUAAUUUUCUGUAUUUUACUUAUUUGUGAGAGAACCAUAUCCACAGGCCUUUUAGAGGUUUAUAAUGAGGCAUUCCAUGGCAACAUCUAUCUACUGCUCAGUCUGUUAUGGAGACAUAUUCUGUUUGCAGCAAACUCCCUGCUUUGGCAUCCUGAAGUCCUCUCUUUUAUUCCUUUUAAGUUCCCCUUCCACCAUUUGCUUUUUCCAGCUUAUACCAGGCAACAUGGGGCUGUCUUUAUGAAACAAUUCUCUUGACACGGAGCCGAGAUGAGUAUUACCUUGAGCAGCUAUUGGAAACACCAGAUGACUGACUGUGAGAUUUGGAUUUAGCUGGCCUGGGUGUUCCUGGAAUAAGGGAAUGCAGGUGCAGUGUGAGAAUUCCUGUAUGACUUGCCUUCCUGAAAUGAUGGACUGCACCACUGACACCUUCAGCCAAACGAACCCUUCCUCUCUGAAGUUGCUUCCUGUUAGAAAGCCAGAGGCUAUGGAUUUGUUCCAGAUUAAGAUACAUCAGGUUUAACCAGCCAAGACCCCCUGAAAGGUCUCCAAUGACACCAUGGCCCAGAUGAUCCAACAUCCAGAUCGGAUUCAAGGCUGGCUCAGACAAUACACCCUCAUGGACUACUCCAUAAUCCUAAAAUUUUCUUUAUGUCCCCAUGAGAUACAGCGCCCUCCUCCAGCAGGAAGUAGUAAGAGAAGCUACGCCCAAAUUCCAAAAUAUACCAAGCUGGCUUUGGA